UUUUGAAGGGGGUGGGACUUCAUCUGGCUCUCUUCUGCUGCUCAAGGGGCAAGCUGGGCAUCAGUCGGGGGUGUUGCAGACAAACCUGAAUGGCAUGAUGUGGAAGCUGUGCUGGCUGCAGCAUGAGCUCACAAACAAUCCUCUGGGCAUUUAGAGACUGUUAAGUAUUUGGAGAAGGCAGAGAAGAUGACAGCAGCAGCAAGUAAAUGGUUUGCAAGAGCACCUAUUCUGAGACAUUUUUAUCAAAUCAUAAUUCAAGAGAACCUCUAAACUUCCUCCUGAGAUAAACCAAUCUGAAAUGUGCAACAAGAAAUUGAAUAAACCUGAUUCAGAAGUCUAAACAAAUAAAACUUGCUAGAAUGAUA